ACGUAGGGGGCGAGCGUUGUCCGGAAUUACUGGGCGUAAAGAGCGCGUAGGCGGCCUGCUAAGUCAGGUGUGAAAACUUAAGGCUCAACCUUAAGAUGGCAUUUGAAACUGACAGGCUUGAGGGCAGGAGAGGAGAGCGGAAUUCCUAGUGUAGCAGUGAAAUGCGUAGAUAUUAGGAGGAACACCAGUGGCGAAGGCGGCUCUCUGGACUGAACCUGACGCUGAGGUGCGAAAGCCAGGGGAGCAAACGG
rnacentral:rRNA from 1 species